rnacentral:rRNA from 1 species
GAUGAGCGCUGGCGGCGUGCCUAAUACAUGCAAGUCGAGCGGUAACAGGUCUAGUUUACUAGAUGCUGACGAGCGGCGGACGGCUGAGUAACACGUAGGAACGUACCCCAAGUAGAGGGAUAACUGCUCGAAAGAGUAGCUAAUACCGCAUGCGAUCUAAGGAUUAAAGCUUUAUGCGCUUUGGGAACGGCCUGCGUUCGAUUAGCUAGUUGGUGAGGUAAAGCUCACCAAGGCGAUGAUCGAUAGCUGGUCUGAGGAGGAUGAUCAGCCAGACGUGGGACUGAGACACGGCCCAG